UACGUAGGGUGCAAGCGUUAAUCGGAAUUACUGGGCGUAAAGCGUGCGCAGGCGGUUUUGUAAGUCUGUCGUGAGAUCCCCGGGCUUAACCUGGGAACUGCGCUUGUAACUGGCAAGCUGGAGUGUGGCAGAGGGGGGUGGAAUUCCACGUGUAGCAGUGAAAUGCGUAGAGAUGUGGAGGAACACCGAUGGCGAAGGCAGCCCCCUGGGCUAACACUGACGCUCAUGCACGAAAGCGUGGGGAGCAAACAGG
rnacentral:rRNA from 1 species